GUGGUCGUAGCUCAGUUGGUUAGAGCGCUUGGUUGUGGCCCAAGAGGUCGGGGGUUCGAGUCCCCUCUACCACCCCA
rnacentral:tRNA from 2 species